GACGAACGCUGGCGGCGUGCUUAACACAUGCAAGUCGAACGGAAAGGCCCUUCGGUUUACUCGAGUACCUAACGGGUGGGUAACACGUUGGUAAUCUGCUCUCCACUUUGUGAUAAGCCUGUGAAACUGGGACUCAUACGGUAUAGGACCACGCGCUACUGAGCGGGUUGGGGAAAUCUUGUGCGGUGUGGGUUGGGCCAGCGGCUGAUCAGUUUGUUGGUGGUGUACUGGCUGGCCAGGUCAAAGCCUGGUAGCCGGCCUGUGAGUGGGAGCAGCCACAAUGGGACUGAGAUAGGCACCAGUCUCCUACGGGAGGCAGCGGUCGGGAGUAUUGCACAAUAGGCGCAAGCCUGAUGCAGAGACGCCGCGUGAGGGAUGACGGCCUUCGGGUUGUAAACCUAUUUCAAUAGGGACGAAGCGGAAGUGACGGUACCUAUACAGGAAGCACCGGCUAACUACGUG
rnacentral:rRNA from 1 species